AUACGAAGGGGGCUAGCGUUGUUCGGAAUUACUGGGCGUAAAGCGCAUGUAGGCGGACAUUUAAGUCAGGGUGAAAUCCCGGGGCUCAACCUCGGAACUGCCUUUGAUACUGGGUGUCUAGAGUGUGGAAGAGGUAAGUGGAAUUCCUAGUGUAGCGGUGAAAUGCGUAGAUAUUAGGAGGAACACCAGUGGCGAAGGCGGCUUACUGGUCCAUUACUGACGCUGAGGUGCGAAAGCGUGGGGAGC
rnacentral:rRNA from 1 species